rnacentral:rRNA from 1 species
AGGAUGAACGCUGGCGGCGUGCCUAACACAUGCAAGUCGAACGUCUCUUCUUUCGGGAAGAGGAGUGGCGGACGGGUGAGGAACACGUGGGAACCUGCCCUACAGUGAGGAAUACCGGCGAGAAAUCGCCGACAAGACCGCAUAGCCCUCUCUGGUGAGAGCCAGAGAAGGAAAGCUUCGCAAGAGGCGCUGGAGGAGGGGCCUGCGUCCGAUUAGCUAGUUGGUGGGGUAAGAGCCUACCAAGGCGUCGAUCGGUAGCUGGUCUGAGAGGACGAUCAGCCACACUGGGAUUGAGAACGGCCCAGACUCCUACGGGGGGCAGCAGUGAGGAAUUUUCCGCAAUGGGCGCAAGCCUGACGGAGCAACGCCGCGUGCAGGAAGACGGUUUUCGGAUCGUAAACUGCUUUUCGCGGGGACGAGGAACGGACGGUACCCGAGGAAUCGAGCCCCGGCUAACUACGUGUCAGCAGCCGC